GGGCCGUUAGCUCAGUUGGUAGAGCAGCUGACUCUUAAUCAGCGGGUCACUGGUUCGAAUCCAGUACGGCUCACCA
rnacentral:tRNA from 1 species